GCGGUCAUCGUAUAAUGGCAUUACCUCAGCUUCCCAAGCUGAUGACGCAGGUUCGAUUCCUGCUGGCCGCUCCA
rnacentral:tRNA from 1 species